rnacentral:sRNA from 1 species
GCAGGCAACGACCCGAAGGGCGAAGCGCGCAGCGCUGAGUAAUCUCUCCCCCACCACCA